rnacentral:rRNA from 1 species
GGGAGUCAGACUGCACGAGAUAAGUUGGGCAGUCAAAAGGGAAAGAGCCCAGACCACCGGCUAAGGUCCCAAAGUGCGUGUUAAGUGGAAAAGGAUGUGGGAAUUCGAAGACAACUAGGAUGUUGGCUCAGAAGCAGCCAUACAUUCAAAGAGUGCGUAACAGCUCACUAGUCGAGAGUUCCUGCGCCGAAAAUGUCCGGGGCUGAAACACGACACCGAAGCCGUGGACUCGCAAUGCGAGUGGUAGAGGAGCAUUCUUAAAACCGACGAAGCUGUACCGGAAGGAGCAGUGGAGGGAUAAGAAGAGAGAAUGCCGGAAUGAGUAGCGAGAGAAAGGUGGGAAUCCUUUCGGCCGAAUAUCUAAGGUUUCCAGAGUAAAGCUGAUCUGCUCUGGGUAAGUCGGGGCCUAAGCACAGGUCGCAAGACGUAAGCGAUGGAUAACAGGUUUAGAUUCCUGUACCACGCAUUAUCAGAACUGUAGGGACGCAUGUGGAAAGCACGAGCCGGGAAUGGAAAGACCGGUACAAGCGGGGUAGGAGUACAAUAGGCAAAUCCGUUGUAUGAUCCGAAGACGUGAUGUGGAGCGAAAUAAAGUAGUGAAGCGUGUGAGCCAUGUGCCGAGAAAAGCUGCUAUUGUGUAAUGCGUGCCCGUACCGUAAACCGACACAGGUGGAUGAGGAGAGAAUCCUAAGGCCGACGGAAGAAGCAUUGUUAAGGAAUUCGGCAAAAUGACCCCGUAACUUCGGGAGAAGGGGUGCCUGCGAGAGCAGGCCGCAGAGAAUAGGCUCAAGCAACUGUUUAGCAAAAACACAGGUCUAUGCGAAACCGAAAGGUGAAGUAUAUGGGCUGACGCCUGCCCGGUGCUGGAAGGUUAAGAGGAGAGGUUAGCGCAAGCGAAGCUUUGAAUUUAAGCCCCAGUAAACGGCGGCCGUAACUAUAACGGUCCUAAGGUAGCGAAAUUCCUUGUCGGGUAAGUUCCGACCCGCACGAAAGGCGUAAUGAUUUGAGCACUGUCUCGACAAUGCAUCCGGUGAAAUUGAAGUACCAGUGAAGAUGCUGGUUACCCGCGCCAGGACGGAAAGACCCCAUGGAGCUUUACUCCAGUUUGAUACUGGGAUUCGGUACUGCAUGUACAGGAUAGGUGGGAGACGAAGAAGGAUGGACGCCAGUCUGUCCGGAGUCGCUGUUGGGAUACCACCCCUGUAGUACUGGGUUUCUAACCAGUUGCCAUGAUCUGGUAAUGGGACAAUGUCAGGCGGGGAGUUUGACUGGGGCGGUCGCCUCCGAAAGGGUAUCGGAGGCGCUCAAAGGUUCCCUCAGAAUGGUUGGAAACCAUUUGAAGAGUGCAAAGGCAGAAGGGAGCUUGACUGCGACACCGACGGGUGGAGCAGGUACGAAAGUAGGACUUAGUGAUCCGGUGGUAUAAAGUGGGAUUGCCAUCGCUCAACGGAUAAAAGCUACCCUGGGGAUAACAGGCUUAUCACUCCCAAGAGUUCACAUCGACGGAGUGGUUUGGCACCUCGAUGUCGGCUCAUCGCAUCCUGGGGCUGUAGUAGGUCCCAAGGGUUGGGCUGUUCGCCCAUUAAAGCGGUACGCGAGCUGGGUUCAGAACGUCGUGAGACAGUUCGGUCCCUAUCCGGCGCGGGCGGAGGAUAUUUGAGAGGAGCUGUCCUUAGUACGAGAGGACCGGGAUGGACGGACCACUGGUGUAUCUGUUGUCGACCAACGGCAUGGCAGAGUAGCCAAGUCUGGAAGGGAUAAACGCUGAAGGCAUCUAAGCGUGAAGCCCCCCUCAAGAUGAGAUAUCCCUCCUUCGGGAGUAAGACCCCUUGAAGACUACAAGGUAGAUAGGGCAGAGGUGGAAGCAUGGCAACAUGUGGAGCUGACUGUUACUAAUAGGUCGAGGGCUUAAUCU